rnacentral:lncRNA from 1 species
CAAAUGGUUUCCUUUUGUGCUCUUCAAAAACUUUGACAGCCAUCUCACAGCAAGUUCCUGUGAUGUUAGAAACUGCCAACUUCUGGAGCAAUAGAGCAACCAGCAUGUAUACCUCCUGGUCCCAAAGGGCCUCUUAGCAAUCAAUCUGAUAAGCCACAAGGUGGAACCAAACAUUUAUAGUAUUCUGAAUCUUUCUUUUUAGGUCAUGCAUCCUUAUGAAGUGAUGGUUCUUUGUGGUCAUUUGUGCCAGCUCCAAUUCCACAGGUCAUGUUACUCUUCAUGUAGGAAGAACUGUGCUUCUGCUGGGUACUGGAGCUGGAGCUGAGACUGCAACAAAUACAUGAUAAAAGCUAAGACGUGAGAUGGGAAAUUGGGAUGUAAGCUGGAGAAUGUCUCCAAUCAGACCAGGAGAGAAAGGGCCUACAGCAGAUGCCUCUGAAGAAC